rnacentral:rRNA from 1 species
CCUACGGGGAGCAGCAGUGAGGAAUAUUGGUCAAUGGACGGAAGUCUGAACCAGCCAUGCCGCGUGCAGGAAGAAGGCUCUAUGAGUUGUAAACUGCUUUUGUACAAGGGUAAACCAGAAUACGUGUAUUCAGCUGAAAGUACGGGACGAAUAAGGAACGGCUACCUCCGUGCCAGCAGCCGCGGUAAUACGGAGGAUCCAAGCGUUAUCCGGAUUUAUUGGGUUGAAAGGGUGCGGAGGCGGAUUGAUCAGUUAGAGGUGAAAUGUCCGCGCUUAACUCGGGAACUGCCUCUAAUACUGUUGAUCUAGAGUGUAGCUGCGGUAGGCGGAAUGUAUGGUGUAGCGGU